rfam:Myotis brandtii contig207381, whole genome shotgun sequence.
GCCAGUUUGGCUCAAUGGAUAGAGCGUUGGACUGAGGACUGAAGGGUCCUGGGUUCGAUUCCCACCAAGGGCA